AGUAGUCAUCGUCGAUGGUGGCGUCUGGUUCCUGGACUCCAACGUCUGGAAGCUCUGUUGUACAGGGAGAAGGGUCGUCGGUGACGUAGUCGUACUCGGUGGCAUCAGCGCCGGUCUCGGGGUCUACCGGAGAAGAAG